CGAUAGAUAAAUAGCCCUGGUUGGUACUCAGUAACCAGUGUCAUCUGUUCUAGCAGCAUAAAAUAUAAUGAAAUUGGAAACAGAAGAGCGGAAGAGCUCA